rnacentral:rRNA from 1 species
AUGGCGAAGAAGAGGAAGCGCAGCUCCGAUGCUCCCGCGCCCGCCUCCGUAGAGAAGCCCGACGACUCUGCGCCGGAGCGGCCGGAGCGCACCCUCUUCGGCUUCAAGGACCAGCCGGACUCCGCCGCCGAGCCUGCUUCCAAGGACGCGGGGCCCUUCUUCCGGAACAAGGAAAAGGUGCUCAUUACGUGCUCCCGCCGCAUCAUCUACAGGUACCGGCACCUGAUGCAGAACGUGGUGUCGCUGCUGCCGCACGCCAAGAAGGACAGCAAGGUCGAGUCCAAGCAGAGCAAGUGCAGCGCGCUCAACGAGCUGGUCGAGCUCAGGAGCUGCUCCAGCUGCCUCUUUUUCGAGUGCAGAAAACAGAAAGAUCUUUACCUUUGGAUGGUCAAGUCUCCCGCAGGGCCAUCAGUGAAAUUUCUAGUCAAUGCUGUUCACACUAUGGAGGAACUCAAGCUCACGGGUAACCAUCUGAAAGGGUCACGUCCUCUGCUAACAUUUUCUUCAAAUUUCGACCAGCAACCUCACUGGAAACUCUUGAAGGAAAUGAUAACUCAAAUUUUUGCUACUCCAAAAGAUCAUCGGAAGGCAAAACCUUUUCAUGAUCAUGUGUUUGUCUUCUCCAUUGUGGAUGACCACAUUUGGUUCAGAAAUUACCAGAUUUCUGUACCCCACAAUGAGAUUGAUAAAGUUGAUAAAGGAGGCCUAGAUAAAAUGACACUUGUUGAGGUUGGCCCCAGAUUCUGUUUGAAUCCAAUUAAAAUAUUUGGUGGUAGUUUUGGUGGCCCCACAUUGUAUGAGAACCCAUUCUAUGUGUCUCCCAAUCAGAUCCGCGCUCUAGAGAAGAGGAAGAAGGCAGGCAAGUACGCCAAGAAAGUGAAGGCCAAGGUGAGGAGGAAGAUGCACGAGAUGGAGAACACCCUGGAGCCCGAUGAAUUUGCUGAUCUUUGGAAAGGGGAAGACUAG